AUGAAGAAUGACUCUCUUCCAGAGUCAGUGAAGUCCAGCAGACAAAAGUCAAGACAACUGAUGACAGCCCAGAAUACCCUGGCAUCCUCGGUGCAACCCUGGGAGAUGGUUGUUAUUUUGGAGAAGAUUCAGCAAUGAGACUAAAAUGAAGACACAUGUGAAGGUCCUCCAGAUGCUCCUUUUGUUGGGAUGACACAAUGCUGGAUGUACCAAGCCUUAGAUGCUGAAGGACUUUCUGGAAGAGACCAGUGACCACUGAGGGGAAAGUGCCCUGAAAAUCCACACAGGAAAGACCUAGUUAAAAGUGAAGAGAAUUGCUGAGCUUAUGAUAUACAUUUAAUAGACAGCCUAUACAGCUGGUCCAUAAAUAUGCAUAUUUGGUAAAAAUAAGUAUAGUCAGGGGGCAGUAGAGAAUCAGGCCUAGACACUGGAGGUCCUGGGUUCAAAUUUGAACUCAGAAACUUCGAGAGUUGUGACCCUAGGCAAAUGCAUAACUCCCAUUGAUUCUAGGACAGAAAUAAGGGCUUUAAAAAAUGAGUUGAUCCCAGGAUUUGACAAAAGAAGAAAGAACUGAAUCAUUAUGAGGAAAUGCAAAAUUCCUUUCAUGAAUUUUUCCCCCCGAAGAAAAAAGGCCCUUUUUUGUUUCUAACAUUGUUAGUAUUAAUAAAUGGCUUCAGGACAUAGAAUAAAAAAAUCUC
rnacentral:lncRNA from 1 species